rnacentral:rRNA from 1 species
CCCCAGACUCCUACGGGAGGCAGCAGUGAGGAAUAUUGGUCAAUGGGCGAGAGCCUGAACCAGCCAAGUCGCGUGAAGGAUGAAGGAUCUAUGGUUUGUAAACUUCUUUUAUAUGGGAAUAAAGUGAGGAACGUGUUCCUUUUUGUAUGUACCAUAUGAAUAAGCAUCGGCUAACUCCGUGCCAGCAGCCGCGGUAAUACGGAGGAUGCGAGCGUUAUCCGGAUUUAUUGGGUUUAAAGGGUGCGUAGGCGGGCUGUUAAGGCGGCGGUCAAGGCCCGGGGCCCAACCCCGGCCCGCCGUUGAAACUGGCAGUCUCGAGUUGGAGAGAAGUAUGCGGAAUGCGCGGUGUAGCGGUGAAAUGCAUAGAUAUCGCGCAGAACUCCGAUUGCGAAGGCAGCAUGCCGGCUCCACACUGACGCUGAGGCACGAAAGCGUGGGUAUCGAACAGGAUUAGAUACCCUAGUA